AUGGUUAUUCUACCAUUGCUCCAACAAUCAUGGCAAAAGCUAUACAAAAUAACCUUCAUUCCCCUCCUCCCUCUUCUUUUCCUUUUCUCUUUUCUUUUUAUUUUCAAAUGCAUUAGAAGUAGUGGAAAACCCAAUUUACCUCCAUCCCCACCAAAGCUGCCAAUCAUUGGCAACCUUCACCAGCUUGGCUCACUUCCACACCGUUCUCUUCAAGCCCUCUCUAAGAAGUAUGGCCCUGUAAUGUUCUUCUACUUUGGCUAUGCACCAACACUUGUGGUGUCAUCUGCAAAUAUGGCAAGAGAAAUGAUGAAAACACAUGACAUCCUUUUCUCAAACAGGCCAAAAACCAUGGCUACUAAUUCUUUACUCUAUGGAUGCACAGACCUAGCAUUCUCAUCCUAUGGUGAAUACUAGAGGCAAGUGAGGAAAAUUUGUGUCCUAGAACUUUUGAGCCUCAAAAGAGUGCAAUCUUUUCAAUAUACAAGGGAAGAAGAAGUUUCUAUAUUGAUCAAUAAGUUAUAUGACUUGUGCCUCAAAGGGGUUUCUAUUAAUCUAAGUGAGUUAUUGAUUGAAAACUCCAACAACAUCGUUACAAGAUGUGUGUUUGGUAAAAAGUUUGGAGAAGUGGAUGGUAAGGGCAAGUCUUCAGAACUACCAAGAAAGGUAAUGGUGCUACUAGCAGCUUUUUCUUGGGAGGAUUAUUUCCCCUUUUUGGGUUGGAUUGAUAUUCUAAUGGGAUUUAAACCAAGUCUAAAAUCCACUUGUGGAGAACUAGAUGCUUUUCUUGAUCAAGUGGUUGAAGAACACAAGACAAUGAAACGUGAUGAUGAUAAAAAUCCCAAUAAGAAAGAUUUUGCAGAUAUUCUCCUCCAACUUCAAAAGAAAAACAUGCUUGACUUUGAGCUUAGCCAUGACAACCUCAAAGCAAUCCUACUAGAUAUGUUUGUUGGAGGAAGUGAUACAACUUCAACAACUUUGGAAUGGGUAAUGGCAGAGCUCAUAAGAAAUCCAAGUAUUAUGAAAAAAGCACAAGAAGAGGUAAGAAGAGUGGUGGGAAAUAAGUCAAAGAUAGACGUCAAUGAUAUCAAUCAAAUGGAUUACUUGAAAUGUAUCCUCAAAGAAAGUCUAAGGCUGUAUCCACCAGUUCCGCUUUCUGCACCUCGAGAAACAUUAGAAAGUUUAAAAUUUGGAGGUUAUGAUAUUUCGCAGAAAACAAGAGUAUUUGUCAAUGUAUGGGCAAUCCAAAGGGACCCUAAACUAUGGGAUAGGCCAGAAGAAUUCAUCCCAGAGAGAUUCACAAAAAACCCAGUUGAUUUCAUAGGUCAAAACUUCGAAUUCAUCGCAUUUGGAGGUGGGAGAAGGGGGUGCCUAGGAUUGACAUUUGGCAUUGCUGUAGUGGAAUACGUGCUUGCCAACCUCAUAUGCUGGUUUGAUUGGAGGUUGCCUACUGUUAAUGCACAGGGAGAAGACUUGGACAUGACUGAAGUUAACGCUCUCACAGCAUUUCGGAAAAAUCCUCUCUAUCUAGUACCAAUAUUGUACUCUUCUUGAUCUAUCCUCCUUUAAUAGGUCAUCCUUGUGCAUAUCCAAUCUCUACUUAAUCUUUCCUUGUUAUCUUGUUGUGUUUAAGAAUCUGUUGUCGUCUGUUACUUAUCGAAAUAAAUGUAUAGGGACUUCAACAGUAAUAAAAAUAGUUGUGACAUGAU